rnacentral:rRNA from 1 species
UAAUUGAAGAGUUUGAUCAUGGCUCAGAUUGAACGCUGGCGGCAGGCCUAACACAUGCAAGUCGAGCGGCAGCACAGAGGAACUUGUUCCUUGGGUGGCGAGCGGCGGACGGGUGAGUAAUGCCUGGGAAAUUGCCCGGUAGAGGGGGAUAACCAUUGGAAACGAUGGCUAAUACCGCAUAACCUCGCAAGAGCAAAGCAGGGGACCUUCGGGCCUUGCGCUACCGGAUAUGCCCAGGUGGGAUUAGCUAGUUGGUGAGGUAAGGGCUCACCAAGGCGACGAUCCCUAGCUGGUCUGAGAGGAUGAUCAGCCACACUGGAACUGAGACACGGUCCAGACUCCUACGGGAGGCAGCAGUGGGGAAUAUUGCACAAUGGGCGCAAGCCUGAUGCAGCCAUGCCGCGUGUAUGAAGAAGGCCUU